AUGGAGUUUGCUGUAUCCGCAUUUGGCGUGGUAGCUAGCAUCGCCAUGUCCAAGCUCUGUACUGUGAUACGAAAAUUAUAUGGGAAGGCGAAGCUUGAUGCUACGUUCUUAAAAGAUGAGCUCGAGGCAAUCCGAGCUGCUAUCAUUCAACUUUGUUUCAGAGGUGGACCUGUUAGAUGUUUGCAGAUAGUAUGGAUAUCACAACUAAGGCGAUUGGCAUAUGACAUCGAAGACAGCAUAGACUGCUUCCAUGCCAACAAGCUGAGCCCCGAAGAAUUCGCCAUAAAGCUUGGUGAACUCAAGGAAAGGUCAUUGGAUACGACCGACCGGAUAAAAAGGUAUGGAUUCGCUGACCAAGGGUCUGCAGAAGGGUCUUCCGUUGUCACCAAUUAUCCUCCGGAUUUUCUUCUUGGCGACAAGAGUUGCCAUGACUGCUUGGUAUAUUUGUACUUGUUUCCUCCUAAUCAUCAUGUCAGGACUAAACCUCUAAUAAGGAGAUGGCUGGCUGAAGGUCUAGUACAACGAGAAGAUGCUGCAGUCGAUAAUUUGCAGUCCAUCAUUGACUCCAGUUACAUCGGUUCCAUCGAGAGAAGUAUCAAUGGGAAGGUGAAGAGGUGCAAAAGAACUCAUGAGACGCUAGAGGACAUCGCCAAACGGUCCUUGUCUGAGAAGUUCAUCCUGGUCUGUGACGGCACCGCCCAACUUCAGGAGGAAGAAGCCCGGAGGCUGUCUGUGCAUCCUUCUGGAAAUGUACAACUGAAUUUGCCUCAGGAUCUGCCUAGUCUCCGAACCUUAGCGGUAUUCCCUGCUGGUGCGGCGAGUCUCGCUAGUUAUGAAGAUGUUUUAGAUUUUUCCAGGUAUGGUCAAGUGCUGCGGGUGUUGGAUCUGAAAGAAUGUGCUCACCUGAGCGAUGAACAUAUUCAGGCUAUUUGCGAGCAGGGAUAUCGGGAAGCUGAAUCAGCUAGAGACCCUCGACCUGAGUGGAAGCCAGACUGUGACGGUGUUCAAAGAAGUCCUCAUGCUGCCCAAACUGAAGCACCUCAUUGGGAAGUUCCAGCUUUCUAA
rnacentral:rRNA from 1 species